rnacentral:lncRNA from 1 species
AUAUCAUGCUUGGAUCACCACCAAACUGCUCAAAGAGGACUAGAUCAUUGCUACCAGGUUGGAGAAAUGACCUGGGCACGUGGUACCUGUUUAACAAGGUAAGGCAUUCAAUCAGUCAGCAUAAUGGAUUUCAUGGUGACCAUAGAUACAAUUUUGAGAGUGUGCCUUCAUAUUUUGUAGUAUAUUAAAUACAUCAAUGCUUAGUAAGUGCUGAAAUAUAAGUGAAUUUUCAUGCACAGCUAAAUGAUAUUAUCACUAAAAAGUUUUCAUAUUGGAACAUGAGAAUAAAUUGGAGCUGGCUCUGCAUUAGGAAACAGAUUGUAGAUAUGAAAAAAAACUGAAGAUCAUAUUCUCGUGCCACUGAGCUUUAGCAGAACUCUUACAGAGUUUGUGAUGGCUGCCCACAUUUCUUUAGGCACUUGUUCGAACUAUAAGCUCCUCUGUAGUUGCAUGAGUUUACACAGCCACUUUGUGGAGCCAAAUUUGUUGGCCAGUAGCGACCAAUGCUCUGGCCAUUCACCCAUGCCUCCCCUUUCCCCAUUCCUGUGAAGUCUAUGGCAACAGGGUCAUCACCUGCAGGAGCCGUAAACUUGGUCUGCAAUUGGAGCAUUUCAUUUAGCAACUUUGCACAUUAUCCCAAGGUAAUAAUUGAACAAAAAGGAUUGAUCAAACAAUGGAGUGUAUAGAUAUAGCUUAUUGAGCCCAAAGCCAUUUUACAUGUACACAAACGUCAAACACAGCUUAAUUACUGGGUCAGAGGAUCAUACUGACCUUGUACCAUAUCAAUGGUUGGUUGGUCGGGUAUGCGUUGUCUGAAACCCAUUCUGGUGAGGCUUCUGAAGGAUUAUACAGAUGCAAGUCUUCUCCUCUGAGUCCAAUCUGAAGCGGUGAAAAUUAUGAUGAGGGAAAACAAACCAUGUUAUGUUUACGGUUGACCUACUGUACCGAAGGCAUUCUCAAAACAGCAUUAGCCAAUAGUUUCCUUACAAAAAAAAUCUGAAACAGUAUAUGAAUAGAUAGUAGAAUACCUGGUAUGUCCAAUCUGUAGAAGAUAGAUUAAGGGCACCAUUUGGUCCACUCAACUUUACUGGACCAGUGACUCCAGCGCCAACCAGGUCAAAGAAUGCACCAUAAUUCUGAUGUUACAGAAUACAUAGUUGUUUAUUAAAUAGAAAGAAGUAAAAUAGGAUAUUAGUUUUGGUGCAUCUCUUCUAGAGUAAGUGAAGAAUAAAUUACCGAUAGCCCAACUGUUGUGCUCAGAAGAUCUAUUUUGUUCUUCCCAGGUACAAGUGUAACUGGUGUCUGCAAUGAGAUGAGCGAGCUGCUAGCACUGCCCUUAGCACUUCCUGGCAUGUGUCAACAAUUACAUUUCAGCACACAAAUACUACUUGUGCGUGUAAGACCAAUGUUCAUAAUUAACAUCACAAUUCGAAUGUCAUUUGAAAGGUCUUUGCAUUGUGACCUCAAGCUUUACCUGCUAGUUUGCCAUUGAUGUAGAUCUGAAGAACAUGUCCAAGUGAGUUGACAAGCAGAUUGGACUGGCUGCCGUUUAGAUAUGGUUCAUCACCUUUGACAACGAUGCUGCAGAAAGCACGAUUAAUUGAAACUGGUGAGUAACCUUGUGACUGCCAGUUUUCUUAUAUAUAUAUAUAGGAGUAUAUGGACAAUUACACCUGAGGCGUGUGAGUGCGAACCCUGUACCUUGUUGAGUACCACAGGAAAUCACUGGCAUCGGCUGUGGUGUUUAUCUGCUCCAUCAGUCCAGGUUUCGUCAAGGCGUUCUCCUUUGUAAUACCAACAGGCUCUAUGGCAUAACU